UUAUCUAGAUUGGGGCACUUUUUGUACCAACUCUUGUACCAUUCCCAUGCUUUAAGGUAGCUCUCGAGGUUCUUUUAUUUAAAUGUAUGUAUUUCAUUUCAGAUUUG
rnacentral:snoRNA from 1 species